UACAGAGGUCUCAAGCGUUGUUCGGAUUCAUUGGGCGUAAAGGGUGCGUAGGUGGCUGGGUAAGUCAGGUGUGAAAUCUCGGGGCUCAACUCCGAAACUGCACUUGAUACUGCCUGGCUCGAGUACUGGAGAGGAGAUUGGAAUUUACGGUGUAGCAGUGAAAUGCGUAGAUAUCGUAAGGAAGACCAGUGGCGAAGGCGAAUCUCUGGACAGUUACUGACACUGAGGCACGAAGGCCAGGGGAGCAAACAGG
rnacentral:rRNA from 1 species